rnacentral:rRNA from 1 species
GACGAACGCUGGCGGCGUGCUUAACACAUGCAAGUCGAACGGAAAGGCCCUGCUUUUGUGGGGUGCUCGAGUGGCGAACGGGUGAGUAACACGUGAGUAACCUGCCCUUGACUUUGGGAUAACUUCAGGAAACUGGGGCUAAUACCGGAUAGGAGCUCCUGCUGCAUGGUGGGGGUUGGAAAGUUUCGGCGGUUGGGGCUGGACUCGCGGCUUAUCAGCUUGUUGGUGGGGUAGGGGCUUACCAAGGCUUUGACGGGUAGCCGGCCUGAGAGGGUGACCGGCCACAUUGGGACUGAGAUACGGCCCAGACUCCUACGGGAGGCAGCAGUGGAGAAUAUUGCACAAUGGGCGGAAGCCUGAUGCAGCAACGCCGCGUGCGGGAUGACGGCUUUCGGGUUGUAAACCGCUUUCGCCUGUGACGAAGCGUGAGUGACGGUAAUGGGUAAAGAAGCACCGGCUAACUACGUG